rnacentral:rRNA from 1 species
UACGUAGGGUGCGAGCGUUAAUCGGAAUUACUGGGCGUAAAGCGUGCGCAGGCGGUGAUGUAAGACAGAUGUGAAAUCCCCGGGCUCAACCUGGGAACUGCAUUUGUGACUGCAUAGCUAGAGUACGGUAGAGGGGGAUGGAAUUCCGCGUGUAGCAGUGAAAUGCGUAGAUAUGCGGAGGAACACCGAUGGCGAAGGCAAUCCCCUGGACCUGUACUGACGCUCAUGCACAAAAGCGUGGGGAGCAAACAGG